GAUGAACGCUGACAGAAUGCCCAACACAUGCAAGUCAACUGUGGCGGACGGGCCAGUAACGCGUAAAGAACUUGCCUCACGGAUAGGUACAACAUUUGGCAACGAAUGCUAAUACCUGAUACUGUGAGAGAGCUUUGCGUCCCAUUAGCUAGUGGGAGAGGUAACGAUUCACCAAGGCGAGGAUGGGUAGCCGGCCUGAGAGGGUGAUCGGCCACAAGGGGAAUGGGGCAAGGCCAUGACUACUACUGGAGGCAGCAGUGGAGAAUAAAGGACAAGGGACCAAGAUCUGAUCCAGCAAUUCUGAGUGAAAGAUAAGGUUUUCGGAGUGUAGAGUGCUUUCAGUUAAAAGGCGGUACCAACAGAAGAAUUGACGGCUAAGUACGUGCCAGCAACCGCGGUAAUAC
rnacentral:rRNA from 1 species